UGGGGAAUAUUGCACAAUGGGCGCAAGCCUGAUGCAGCCAUGCCGCGUGUAUGAAGAAGGCCUUCGGGUUGUAAAGUACUUUCAGCGGGGAGGAAGGCGAUGUGGUUAAUAACCGCGUCGAUUGACGUUACCCGCAGAAGAAGCACCGGCUAACUCCGUGCCAGCAGCCGCGGUAAUACGGAGGGUGCAAGCGUUAAUCGGAAUUACUGGGCGUAAAGCGCACGCAGGCGGUCUGUCAAGUCGGAUGUGAAAUCCCCGGGCUCAACCUGGGAACUGCAUCCGA
rnacentral:rRNA from 1 species